AUUGAACGCUGGCGGCAGGCCUAACACAUGCAAGUCGAGCGAGCGGCGGACGGGUGAGUAAUUUCUGGGAAACUGCCUGAUGGGGGGGGAUAACUACUGGAAACGGUAGCUAAUACCGCAUACCAUCAGAUGUGCCCAGAUGGGAUUAGCUAGUAGGUGGGGUAACGGCUCACCUAGGCGACGAUCCCUAGCUGGGCUGAGAGGAUGACCAGCCACACUGCAACGGAGACACGCUCCAGACCCCUACGUGAGGCAGCAGUGGGGAAUAUUGUACAGUGGGCUGAAGCCUAAUGCAGCCAUGCCGCGUGUGUGAAGAAAGCCUUCGGGUUGUAAAGCAAUUUGAGCGUGAAGGCGUUACCCUCCGAAGAAGCACCGGCUAACUCCGUGCCAGCAGCCGCGGUAAUAC
rnacentral:rRNA from 1 species